rnacentral:rRNA from 1 species
ACUGCGGAACUGUCUUUGAGACUGCUCGGCUUGAGGAUAGUGGAGGAGAAUGGAAUUCCCGGUGGAGCGGUGAAAUGCGUAGAUAUCUGGAGGAACACCGGUGGCGAAGGCGGCAUCCUGGACCAACACUGACGCUGAGGAGCGAAAGCCAGGGGAGCAAACGGGAUUAGAUACCCCGGUAGUCCUGGCCCUAAACGAUGAAUGCUUGGUGUGACGGGUAUCGAUCCCUGUCGUGCCGAAGCUAACGCAUUAAGCAUUCCGCCUGGGGAGUACGGCCGCAAGGUUAAAACUCAAAGGAAUUGACGGGGGCCCGCACAAGCGGUGGAUUAUGUGGAUUAAUUCGAUGCAACGCGAAAAACCUUACCUACCCUUGACAUGUCCGGAAUCCUGCAGAGAUGCGGGAGUGCCCGAA